CUUGAGCUCUGAACAGCGCCAGUCGCAAUGCCAGACUCUGCUCUGCUCACGGCCUCGGAGCCUGCUCUCCAAUCUGACAGUGUUCUGGUACCUGGGGGACAGCUGAUGGGACCCUGCUUUAGCCUCGGCUAAUUUCACUCACAGCUUGAUCUCAACCCAGAGCAGGUGCCCACUUGGUGCCAACGGCGGUUGCCAUGGCAAUGCCAACUUCACGGGCCAAGAAAUUGCAAAUUGACCACCACUGGAUAACAAAAACAUGCAUGAACAUUGAAGCCUGAUGGAAGUGUGGCUGCCAUUCUGCGCAUACGACCCCUUCGACCACCACCAAACAUCCAACCAUUGGCGGAAUUUAGUUUGAAAUGCCUCUUUCCUGGUAAUAAGGGUAUAAUAACAACUCACUGAAAACUGAAAGAGCACUUCAUGAUGCUGGAUGGCUUCUUUUUGGUUUUUAUGACAACUGGUCUAAUACAUAUGUUAACCACUGUGCACAUGUAUAGGUAUUGACUGCACAAGUCUCCUUGUUGCGGGAGAACUAAGCUCACACAGCCAGUGUCAUCCCUCAACCACUA